GAUUUAUGAAGAAGAGGUGAGAGAACAGGCUCUGUGAACCUCUGGCAACCUUCCACUUAAGGGAAAGGUGCCAAUACCUGCCCGAAUGGGACCGAUAAAUU
rnacentral:ncRNA from 1 species